GAACGCACAUUGCGCCCUUUCGUAUUCCAAAGGGCAUGCCUGUUCGAGCGUCAUUUGUACCCUCAAGCUUUGCUUGGUGUUGGGCGUUUUUGUCUCGGGUCCGCCCCGAGACUCGCCUUAAAAUCAUUGGCAGCCGGCCUACUGGUUUCGGAGCGCAGCACAUUUUUGCGCUUUGUCCAGUCGUGGUCUUGCGUCCAUGAAGCGAAUAUUUUCAACGUUUGACCUCGGAUCAGGUAGGGAUACCCGCUGAACUUAAG
rnacentral:misc_RNA from 1 species